UGAUGUAUAUCGGGCAGGCACUUCUCAAUCAAUUUCUUGGGAACAUAAUUACGGUAAAGGUUAAGGCCAAUGUAAUAUGUAACGUUAAUUAACUCGCAGGGGCUGUACGAGUACCACCUACUAGAAAUGCUGCCAUGGAGUGAGUUGUUCAAGCGCAUUGGCGAGUUGCGUAAACAGUUUGCACUUGAAAACGUCCUUGUAUCAGACACUACAUUGGAAAAAAUAUUCAUCGGUCUUGCAAGAAAGGCUCUUCAACAAGACCAAGACGAGUCACGAACUAGUCAUUUCACUGCCUUCAGAUCACCUCCACAACCGACUACUCUAGCACGUUCAGCACGGGCCGCAACGCAGCAAUCCGCCGUGCCAACUAGAGCAUCUACAGCACGCAGCACUGCAAGAAAUGCAGAAGAGCCUGUUGUCAUUUGAAGUGAACUGCAGCUCAUUACGGUACAUUGAUCAACACUGCUUGGCUUAUUUCAUUUUUUUUUGAACUUCCAUUAAUAAAAUCUUGUGUCGUGGUAGAGGCA